CAAAAUCUUUCAUUGUCAACACCUCUUGGAAAGAUGCCAAAAGGAAAGAUAUGAAGACUAGCCCAAGAUUGCUCAUAUCUGAUGAAGAUUCCGCUGACACAGAGAGCCAUUGCAGAUUUCAGCUAGCUUAAAAUGCUUGUGACUAUUCUUUGGCUCAAUUUGAAAUCACUGCUUACAUUCUUGCAUUCCCCAACUUAAAUCCCAAGGAACUAGAAGCUUGAGUUGUCUCUGCCAUUCUGGCAUAUUUCAGAUUUCACCUUGCCUUUUGAUUAUCCAUAUAAUAUGUCCUUCAUCUGAUAAGGGUUUAAAAAUUCCAAUCUCUAUAAAAUUCAGAUGUGUUGUCUGCAAUACAUUUCAGAUAAUCAUUGCAAAGUUGAAGCAAAAUCAGAUAUUGAUGUGGCUGCAAAUGCUCGCUUAAUAGAGAAUCGAACAUCGCCUAUACAGCUUCAAAGUCAUGGCUUCUGGAGAUGGUUCUAUUGGAUUUCUGUAAACACUAACAAUUCAAGACUUCUCUGGUUUGGCAGCUCUACCAUGCUCAAUAGGCAGCCUCGCUUCACUUUACAUACCCUGAAAUUAGUAUCUGCCCUGAAUUCACAUUGCUGACAGAAGAGAUUGGUUCCCUCAUAUCAGUGCAGACCCUCAUAAUCUUCAAUUGUCCAAGUCUAUUGGAAAGAAGUCAAAGGGAAUCAAGUGAAGAUACUCAAAAUAUUUCAUUGUCAACACCUCUUGGAAAAAUGACAAAAGGAAACAUAUGAAGACUUGCCGCAAGAUUGCUCAUAUCCCACACAUUCAUAUCUGGUGAAGAUUCCACUGAUAUAGACACAUUACAGGUGUAAUUUUUCAAAGUUAAAGCAAAGUAGAUAGUGAUGUGGAUGCAACACAAUACUCAUUCGAAAUAAGUGGACAAUGAUUUAGCACCUCAUUUCUCUAAGCUAUUGAAAAUUCACAUGUGGUAGUGUAAUGUCUCUAACUCUUAAUUGUUUUGCACUUCAAUGCCC